AAUUUUGAUCUGAAAUCAGGGAGGAUUACCCGCUGAACUUAA
rnacentral:rRNA from 1 species